AGAGUUUGAUCCUGGCUCAGGAUGAACGCUGGCGGCGUGCUUAACACAUGCAAGUCGAACGAACCUUCGGGUUAGUGGCGGACGGGUGAGUAACGCGUGGGAAUCUGCCCUCAGGAGGGGGAUAACGGCUGGAAACGACCGCUAAUACCCCAUAUGCCGAGAGGUGAAAUGAAUUUCGCCUGAGGAUGAGCCCGCGUCUGAUUAGCUUGUUGGUGAGGUAAUGGCUCACCAAGGCUUCGAUCAGUAGCUGGUCUGAGAGGAUGAUCAGCCACACUGGGACUGAGACACGGCCCAGACUCCUACGGGAGGCAGCAGUGGGGAAUUUUCCGCAAUGGGCGAAAGCCUGACGGAGCAACGCCGCGUGAGGGAUGAAGGCCUCUGGGCUGUAAACCUCUUUUCUCAAGGAAGAAGAUAUGACGGUACUUGAGGAAUAAGCCACGGCUAAUUCCGUGCCAGCAGCCGCGGUAAUACGGGAGUGGCAAGCGUUAUCCGGAAUUAUUGGGCGUAAAGCGUCCGCAGGCGGCCUUUCAAGUCUGCUGUUAAAGCGUGGAGCUUAACUCCAUUAGAGCAGUGGAAACUGUUGGGCUUGAGUAUGGUAGGGGCAGAGGGAAUUCCCGGUGUAGCGGUGAAAUGCGUAGAUAUCGGGAAGAACACCAGUGGCGAAGGCGCUCUGCUGGGCCAUAACUGACGCUCAUGGACGAAAGCCAGGGGAGCGAAAGGGAUUAGAUACCCCUGUAGUCCUGGCCGUAAACGAUGAACACUAGGUGUCGGGGGAAUCGACCCCCUCGGUGUCGUAGCUAACGCGUUAAGUGUUCCGCCUGGGGAGUACGCACGCAAGUGUGAAACUCAAAGGAAUUGACGGGGGCCCGCACAAGCGGUGGAGUAUGUGGUUUAAUUCGAUGCAACGCGAAGAACCUUACCAGGGUUUGACAUCCUGCGAACCUCUUAGAAAUUUGAGGGUGCCUUCGGGAACGCAGUGACAGGUGGUGCAUGGCUGUCGUCAGCUCGUGUCGUGAGAUGUUGGGUUAAGUCCCGCAACGAGCGCAACCCACGUUUUUAGUUGCCAGCAUUCAGUUGGGCACUCUAGAGAGACCGCCGGUGAUAAACCGGAGGAAGGUGUGGAUGACGUCAAGUCAUCAUGCCCCUUACAUCCUGGGCUACACACGUACUACAAUGCUACGGACAAAGGGCAGCGAACUCGCGAGGGCAAGCAAAUCCCAUAAACCGUGGCUCAGUUCAGAUCGUAGGCUGCAACUCGCCUACGUGAAGGAGGAAUCGCUAGUAAUCGCAGGUCAGCAUACUGCGGUGAAUACGUUCCCGGGCCUUGUACACACCGCCCGUCACACCAUGGAAGUUGGCCACGCCCGAAGUCGUUACUCCAACCCUUGUGGAGGAGGACGCCGAAGGUGGGGCUGAUGACUGGGGUGAAGUCGUAACAAGGUAGCCGUACCGGAAGGUGCGGCUG
rnacentral:rRNA from 1 species